rnacentral:rRNA from 1 species
AUUGAACGCUGGCGGCAGGCCUAACACUUGCAAGUCGAGCGAGCGGCGGACGGGUGAGUAAUGUCUGGGAAACUGCCUGAUGGAGGGGGAUAACUACUGGAAACGGUAGCUAAUACCGCAUACCAUCAGAUGUGCCCAGAUGGGAUUAGCUAGUAGGUGGGGUAAUGGCUCACCUAGUCGACGAACCCUAGCUGGUCUGAGAGGAUUACCAGCCACACUGGAACUGCGACACGGUCCAGACUCCUACGGGAGGCAGCAGUGGGGAAUAUUGCACAAUGGGCGCAAGCCUUAUGCCGCCAUGCCGCGUGUGUGAAGAAGGCCUUCGGGUUGUAAAGCACUUUCAGCGAGGAGGCGUUACCCGCAGAAGAAGCACCGGCUAACUCCGUGCCAGCAGCCGCGGUAAUAC